rnacentral:rRNA from 1 species
UACGAAGGGGGCUAGCGUUGUUCGGAUUUACUGGGCGUAAAGCGCACGUAGGCGGAUUGCUAAGUCAGGGGUGAAAUCCUGGAGCUCAACUCCAGAACUGCCUUUGAUACUGGUGAUCUUGAGUCCGGGAGAGGUGAGUGGAACUGCGAGUGUAGAGGUGAAAUUCGUAGAUAUUCGCAAGAACACCAGUGGCGAAGGCGGCUCACUGGCCCAUUACUGACGCUGAGGCGCGAAAGCUAGGGGAGCAAACGGG